AAAGUCGUAACAAGGUAUCCGUAGGUGAACCUGCGGAUGGAUCAUUAUCACGUAUCCACGUAUCAACCAUUGUGAACUGUUUUUUACCUCUGAUAGGACUUGUGAUGGGAAAUUGGAUUGAUUUCGGUCUCUCCUUUUUUCUUACUUAUCAGUUGUAUUUCACAUAUUUAUUUACAACUUAAACCUCAAAUAACUUUAAUUUUUGAACUGAAAUUAUUUCAUACUCUUAACGGAGAUGAAAUUCAUUACGAAACAUAAGAACAACUCUUAGCAACGGAUAUCUUGGUUCUC
rnacentral:misc_RNA from 1 species